rnacentral:snoRNA from 1 species
GUUUGAGAUGUUCCAACAGGCCUGUACCUCUGGGCCUGUCAUAGUGCCCCAUGCCAGAGCAACCCCGAACCAUUGCCUGACCCAAAGGCUACUGGCACUGAAGUGGGUCAUACAGUG